GUCACGCCCCCUUCCGGUGGCUGUCUUGCUGGGAGCAGAAGAGGCGAGUCCUGGCGGGGCUUGGCCUGACAGGCCCGGAGCCGAACCGCCCCUUUCGCGGUUGGCUCAGGAAAGAGCCAGAUUUGUUUGUUUGUUUGCUUGUAGCUUUUCCUUCUCUCAGCUCCUCGCUCAUCCAGAAAUAGAGUCUUGCCGUAAAAUGUUGCUUUUAAAGAUCUCCGACAUCUCGAAUCAUGCAAGGUUUUACAGAGGUGUAUGGAUCUAUAUCAACUGCUCACUUUAUGCCAGUACUUGCUGUAGGUGUCCAAGACAGCAACAAUGGUUGGAUUCCAGGAGCUGAAGUUAUGGGUGUUUGUUUCCCUCCUGACGUGAGCGCUGAGAACUGAACUCUCACCCUUUGCAAGAGCAGCAAGCUCUCUUAACCACCCGCUGAACCAUCUCCCCAGCCCCAUGGAUAUAAUCUUUAAAAAUUACGCUAACUCGGAACUCUUGCUACAGAAUUUCAUAAUUCUUAAGAUCCUCUUUAACAUGAGUUGACCCAGAAUGAUUACUGUGAGCUAAUUAACGUGUACUGUAGAGGAUCCUAAAGUGGGAAAUGUCCUAUUCACAAAAGUCCUCCCCUGAGUUAUAGGAAAAGCCAAGAGACACUGAGUUACAUAUAUAUAUUGUCCCUGGGCUCUGUUUCCACAAGUCAAUGUACAACAGUUGGUAAAGAAAUAAAAUGUCUAUGUUUGAAAUUUAAUCUGCCCAUGGAAAUACUAGGAUCGAAAUAAAUAGAUAUA